rnacentral:snoRNA from 12 species
UGGAUGAUGAUACGAUGGUAUCUGAAUGAGCAAAUUCCUGUUGAAAAGCCUUCUACCAUCUGCUGCCUUCCUUCUGAUCAG